rnacentral:rRNA from 1 species
AGUGAACGCUGGCGGCGUGCCUAAUACAUGCAAGUCGAACGGUAACAGGAAGUAGCUUGCUACUUUGCUGAUUAGUGGCGCACGGGUGAGUAAUGCAUAGGUCAUGAGCCCCAUAGUCUGGGAUAGCCACUGGAAACGGUGAUUAAUACUGGAUACUCCCGAGAGGGGAAAGUUUUUCGCUAUGGGAUCAGCCUAUGUCCUAUCAGCUUGUUGGUGAGGUAAUGGCUCACCAAGGCUAUGACGGGUAUCCGGCCUGAGAGGGUGAACGGACACACUGGAACUGAGACACGGUCCAGACUCCUACGGGAGGCAGCAGUAGGGAAUAUUGCUCAAUGGGGGAAACCCUGAAGCAGCAACGCCGCGUGGAGGAUGAAGGUCUUCGGAUUGUAAACUCCUUUUCUAAGAGAAGAUUAUGACGGUAUCUUAGGAAUAAGCACCGGCUAACUCCGUG